UACGUAGGGCGCAAGCGUUAUCCGGAAUUAUUGGGCGUAAAGAGCUCGUAGGCGGUUUGUCGCGUCUGCCGUGAAAGUCCGGGGCUCAACUCUGGAUCUGCGGUGGGUACGGGCAGACUAGAGUGAUGUAGGGGAGACUGGAAUUCCUGGUGUAGCGGUGAAAUGCGCAGAUAUCAGGAGGAACACCGAUGGCGAAGGCAGGUCUCUGGGCAUUAACUGACGCUGAGGAGCGAAAGCAUGGGGAGCGAACAGGA
rnacentral:rRNA from 1 species